AUGCUCUGGGGCUGCGAGCUCAGUCAGGAGAGGCGGACUUGCACCUUCAGACCCCAGCCAGAGGGGAAGCAGGGCUGCAGGCUGUUGCUUCAUAUGAUUUUCUUAGGGGAGAAAACCAAAGAGGAGAUGCAUUGCGUGGAGAUCCUGCCUCCAGGAAACCGGGAGGACAAGAAGACGCAGCUGGUCACCAUUGCCUCGCUCCAGGCCUCAGUCCUCCCCAAGGUCACCGUGGUUGGAGUACAGCUUUCUCCCCCAGUUACUUUCCAGCUCCGGGCUGGCUCAGGACCUGUGUUCCUCAGUGGCCAGGAGCGUUAUGAAACCUGGGAGGAGGAGGAGGAAGAAGAAGGGGAAGAGGAAGAAGAGGAAGAGGAGGAGGAAGAUGAUGAGGGUGAGGAUGUAGAUAUAUCUCUGGAGGAGAAAUCCCCUGUCAAACAAGGCAAAAGGCUGGUGCCCCAGAAGCAGACGAGCAUGGCUAAGAAAAAAAAGCUGGAAAAGAACAAGAGGAAGUAAGACCCAGCAUUAGAGACAAGAGCCCUGAGAAGAAGGCCAAAGCCACACCCAGAUCCAAAAAGCCAGGAUUCAAGAAAUGAGGAGCUACGCUUUGGGGGCCACGAUGCAGAGUGGGCCUUCCCUGACCUGUGCUGCAGGGACACGUCACCCCUGCCCCACCCCUGCAUUUGUCUGAAUAUGACAGGGGUGUUGUGGGGGCAACACGAGAGCCCCUCACCCCCACUCUCCACUUUCAGGAGGCCUCGAGUGCAGACCCCCACCUCGGGUCACAAUAAAAUUGUCUGGUCGGGAAA